rnacentral:rRNA from 1 species
CAGUCGCGCGGUAAUACAGAGGGUGCGAGCGUUAAUCGGAUUUACUGGGCGUAAAGCGUGCGUAGGCGGCUUCUUAAGUCGGAUGUGAAAUCCCUGAGCUUAACUUAGGAAUUGCAUUCGAUACUGGGAAGCUAGAGUAUGGGAGAGGAUGGUAGAAUUCCAGGUGUAGCGGUGAAAUGCGUAGAGAUCUGGAGGAAUACCGAUGGCGAAGGCAGCCAUCUGGCCUAAUACUGACGCUGAGGUACGAAAGCAUGGGGAGCAAACAGGAUUAGAUACCCCCGUAGUCCCUGUCUCUUAUACA